AGUGGAAAAUGUUCUAGCGUUGUUGUUGUCCGGCCGACGGGCCACUAUUGCUACCGACGACUACUGCUAAUGCCGCCGCCGUCGUCGUCUUAUCUCAGACGAUAAAAGCGAUAACGUCGAUGACGACGACCCCAGUCCAGUAUUCCAGCUUACAAUCACAAGUCAGUUGUACUCAGUAGUCACAACAUAUUUUGCCGUUGCGGACGCGUCGUUGUAGUUGUCGUCUCACGAUAGCAGUAAUAAUAACAUUUCGUUUUAUCAUUUUCCGACGAUAACCGUUGCUUUUAUUUCAACCGACUGCACUGUGAAGACAAAUUUAAUAAUCGGCAGCAUCCUUGGUGGUCCAUAUCCGUUUGCGACCCGUUUUCAUCCCGUUUGACAACGGACCCGCACACACUUGCGCCCCAAAGCUCGACUUCCAGCUCCACCCGCCCACGCACGACCGCGCUCUUCGAUCAUGUCUAUGGGAGAUAAAGUUACAAAUCUUUGGAAAAGGGCCAGUGAUGAAGGAGAAAAUAGGGAUGAAAUUCCUUGGCACCUAAAAUAUGGUAGCAGAACAUUGGGGACAUUUGCAGGCAUUGUUAAUUUGUUCACUGGUGUUUGGAAUGGACUGGGAUUGAUUUUUUUAAACACAGAUUGUUUGUUUGGUGGAAUUAUUCAAUUACUUCUUGGUAUUUUACUAAUUGCAUUAGAAGCACCUUUCCUUUGCGUGUUUAUCGAUUAUAUGCAGAAAGUUAGUGAUGUUGCUGAAAAUAAACCCUACUGGACUAGAGCUAUUUUAUAUGCUGGGCUAUCGUUAGUACCAAUUCUUUUAUGUUUUGGCCCAAGUACAUUAAUAGCUAGUGCUUUAGUAUUUUGUACUGGUUUAUUGUAUGGUCUCAUGUCAGUUGGGAAAAAAGGAUCUAGGGAAGACAUGGGAGCUAUUGCUUCUCCUGUUGAUAACGUCUCUCAACCCAUGGGCGGACAUCACACAACUUUAAUGGAAGAUCCAGAUGUGUGGCGUCCCACUUAAGGCAAACUGAACUAAAUUUUUAAAGUGUAUUAUUGCUGCUUAUGUUACUGAGCACCAGCAGAACAAAUGAAGACAACUGCAUCCACAUUAGAGCCAUGAGACAUAUACAACAUUAGUGAAAUAUAUACAAUAUUAUACAGUAUAAUACUUUAGACCUCACUAAAACCAAUUAAAAAUAAUGUGUUGGUUCCCUAGUGAUUUUAUUACCACCACUAUCCAAAUGCAUUCCAUUUUACCAUGGUCUCCCAAUUAAUGAUACUCAUUUAUCUAUGGUAAUCAAGUUCAACAAAAUUAUUAAAUUGAUUCAAUAUGUAUCUUUUUAUAGAUAUUUUUAAUGCCCAUUAAUAGGAUAGGGAAUAAUCUAUAUUUCACCCCAUUCAAAUUUAUAAUAGGGAUUCACAUAUAUAUCUAAUAACCUUGAAUAAGAUUGUAUUUGUAUUUAUUCUAUUUUAAUCUUUUAUUGCAUGCCAUUAAUAUACAUUAAUUUAGCUGUCAUGAUUUAAACUAAUUUUUAAUGGGAUUAUUGAAAUUGUAUAACUUAAAUAUAAAUAUAACAAUUACAAAGCGACUGCAGAAUCUCUAUUGAAUCAUUCUUAUAAUAAUUAUAUUCAAUAUUAUUAACUUGUAAUCUUAAAUUGAUUUGCCUAGUUGAAUAAGUUCUAGGUUACUUAUAAAGUAACAUAAACUACUUUUAAAUAUUUUGUUAUUACCAAUUUCCCUUAAGUUUAACUUAUUUUAAUCAUCCCAAGAACAUACUCGCACCUUAAUAACUCUUGAAAAUGUUCCUGGAAUUAAUUUAUAAUAUUUAUCAAUUUAUCAUAUUAUAAUAUAAAGAAGUUUAUAUUCUAUAUGACCAUCUUUAAUAACAAUUGUUUAUAUAAUUAUUUAUUUACAUGAGUGUAAUAUUAUUUAAUUUAUACUAGAAAUCAAUUAAUAGUUAAAAAUUAUAGAAUAAAAUAAAAUAUUAAAAAUUUCCUAUUGUGUUUUUUAAAUGACACUAUUAAAAAAUAUUUUCAAAGCAACGAAAUUGUUAUCU
rnacentral:misc_RNA from 1 species